GCUGGGUGUGGUGGCGCAUGCCUGUAGUCCCAGCUACUUGGGAGGCUGAGGCAGGAGGACUUGCUUGAGCCCAGGAGUUCAAGACUGCAAUGAGCUAUGAUUGUGCCACUGCACUCCAGCCUGGGAAACAGAAUGAGACCCUGUCUCAA
rnacentral:SRP_RNA from 1 species